rnacentral:tRNA from 1 species
GGGCGAGAUGUGUUUGCACAGCUCACUCUGCAAAGGUGAGUUUUGAUAAGGUUUAUCCUCGUCCU